GCUGAAUGUGUAACCAAGGACCUGCAGCAGGCGAGUGCAGGGCCUCGGCGCCGCCCCUGAUUCUGUCCACUUCCGUGCCAUUAUCUUCCAUUUUGCAUUGGUGAAUUUGAUGUUUGUGUGUUUUUUUUUUUUUUUGCCGCUCACACAAAAGGCCCAAAAAGCAGCGGGAUGCUUUUAACGCGGCGCUAAAUCCAAAGACAUUCACGACCGUUCUGAGGAAACAGACGGAGAUUGCUAUCUGAGCAACGGACCUUGUAAAGUUAUACAACGUGGGCAUGUGCGGACACAACAGCCGCACAUGUUUCAUCCGGCUGGUACCACACUUCCCGCGGGCGGAGGAUGUGCACAAGAACAAUGCGCGGGGAAACGCCGUCUCUUGGCGGUCCGAACUCCACCCGCUGUGUUUACGCGGUGCUCCAAUGCACCACCCCGCACUACACUAUUAAUGGCAUUUGUGCAAGAUGACAAAUCGCCGUCGGCCCGCGAUGGAAAACGGCGUUACUCGCGCAAACCUUGUGAAAAAAAUGGAGCCUCCUUGUGCUAUUUCAGAAUAAGUGAUCUGAUGGAUGCUCUGUGCGACGCACGGCCGCCGUCGGAGUAAUUACAAAAGGCACGAGAGGAGCACCCACGCAGCCGCACCGGGCGUUUGUUCCAGUUGGGAGAAUCACAGCAGCGCACUCGACCUGCAGGCUGUGACGCUUGUUUGCUUUCCGACGUCUUCAAUGGAUCUCGUUUCGUUCGUGGAUGCUCCAUUGUUGCUGAUGUCGGCCUGGCAACUGUUUGCUUUGGAUUUGACCUUUGGGGGUCGUGUCUGUGAGAGGACAUUUUGCGGUGUGUGUUUGUGGAAAUGGGGCAGGAGAGAGUGCCACCUGUUGAUUUGUUACGGUGCUGCACUAAAGGGGGGCAACAAGCCAGCGCAGUUGUGAUGCGAGGCAGUUUGCUAAAUAGGUCUGUUAGCUGAAAAUAUUAGUACUAAUAAGUAUUUUUUUUAUUAAUGCAGGUAAACUUAAGGUCAAUAUGGUGAACUGAACACUCAUAUCUGGUGUUUCAAACACAUUUUCACAUAUGAGAAUAUUCUGCGGGAGCCUAAAAUUAACUUGAAUAAUAAUUUUAAUAGCAGAGGCUGGAAGAUGAUUUAAUCAUGCAGGAACAAUUAUUGAUGUAUUCAGAGUUGCAAAAAAGUAAUAACAUUUAAAAAGCAAAUGCCGUCUCCUACAAAAGCACAUUACCAGCAAAGCCUAAGUGCUCUUAAUUGCAUUUUGACAGAAAUCUUUUUUUUCCUACAGUAUAUUACCGUCGCAGAUGGCUACCAC
ensembl:lncRNA